rnacentral:rRNA from 1 species
GAAAUCAACCGAGAUUCCCCCAGUAGCGGCGAGCGAACGGGGAGGAGCCCAGAGCCUGAAUCAGUGUGUGUGUUAGUGGAAGCGUCUGGAAAGGCGCGCGAUACAGGGUGACAGCCCCGUACACAAAAAUGCACAUGCUGUGAGCUCGAUGAGUAGGGCGGGACACGUGGUAUCCUGUCUGAAUAUGGGGGGACCAUCCUCCAAGGCUAAAUACUCCUGACUGACCGAUAGUGAACCAGUACCGUGAGGGAAAGGCGAAAAGAACCCCGGCGAGGGGAGUGAAAAAGAACCUGAAACCGUGUACGUACAAGCAGUGGGAGCCUCUUUAUGGGGUGACUGCGUACCUUUUGUAUAAUGGGUCAGCGACUUAUAUUCUGUAGCAAGGUUAACCGAAUAGGGGAGCCGAAGGGAAACCGAGUCUUAACUGGGCGUUAAGUUGCAGGGUAUAGACCCGAAACCCGGUGAUCUAGCCAUGGGCAGGUUGAAGGUUGGGUAACACUAACUGGAGGACCGAACCGACUAAUGUUGAAAAAUUAGCGGAUGACUUGUGGCUGGGGGUGAAAGGCCAAUCAAACCGGGAGAUAGCUGGUUCUCCCCGAAAGCUAUUUAGGUAGCGCCUCGUGAAUUCAUCUCCGGGGGUAGAGCACUGUUUCGGCAAGGGGGUCAUCCCGACUUACCAACCCGAUGCAAACUGCGAAUACCGGAGAAUGUUAUCACGGGAGACACACGGCGGGUGCUAACGUCCGUCGUGAAGAGGGAAACAACCCAGACCGCCAGCUAAGGUCCCAAAGUCAUGGUUAAGUGGGAAACGAUGUGGGAAGGCCCAGACAGCCAGGAUGUUGGCUUAGAAGCAGCCAUCAUUUAAAGAAAGCGUAAUAGCUCACUGGUCGAGUCGGCCUGCGCGGAAGAUGUAACGGGGCUAAACCAUGCACCGAAGCUGCGGCAGCGACGCUUAUGCGUUGUUGGGUAGGGGAGCGUUCUGUAAGCCUGCGAAGGUGUGCUGUGAGGCAUGCUGGAGGUAUCAGAAGUGCGAAUGCUGACAUAAGUAACGAUAAAGCGGGUGAAAAGCCCGCUCGCCGGAAGACCAAGGGUUCCUGUCCAACGUUAAUCGGGGCAGGGUGAGUCGACCCCUAAGGCGAGGCCGAAAGGCGU